rnacentral:rRNA from 1 species
GACGAACGCUGGCGGCGUGCUUAACACAUGCAAGUCGAACGGUAAGGCCCUUCGGGGUACACGAGUGGCGAACGGGUGAGUAACACGUGGGUGAUCUGCCCUGCACUUCGGGAUAAGCCUGGGAAACUGGGUCUAAUACCGGAUAGGAUCACUGCCUGCAUGGGUGGUGGUGGAAAGCUUUUGCGGUGUGGGAUGGGCCCGCGGCCUAUCAGCUUGUUGGUGGGGUGAUGGCCUACCAAGGCGACGACGGGUAGCCGGCCGGGGGGGGUGACCGGCCACGCUGGGACUGAGGUACGGCCCAGACUCCGACGGGAGGCGGCAGUGGGGAAUAUUGCGCAAUGGGCGCAAGCCUGAUGCAGCGACGCCGCGUGAGGGAUGACGGCCUUCGGGUUGUAAACCUCUUUCGGCACCGACGAAGCGCAAGUGACGGUAGGUGCAGAAGAAGGACCGGCCAACUACGUGCCAGCCGCCGCGGUAA